UACGAAGGGGGCUAGCGUUGCUCGGAAUCACUGGGCGUAAAGCGCACGUAGGCGGCUUCUUAAGUCAGGGGUGAAAUCCUGGAGCUCAACUCCAGAACUGCCUUUGAUACUGAGGAGCUUGAGUCCGGGAGAGGUGAGUGGAACUGCGAGUGUAGAGGUGAAAUUCGUAGAUAUUCGCAAGAACACCAGUGGCGAAGGCGGCUCACUGGCCCGGUACUGACGCUGAGGAGCGAAAGCGUGGGGAGCGAACAGG
rnacentral:rRNA from 1 species